AUUGAACGCUGGCGGCAGGCUUAACACAUGCAAGUCGAGCGGGGUGAUGGUGCUUGCACUAUCACUUAGCGGCGGACGGGUGAGUAAUGCUUAGGAAUCUGCCUAUUAGUGGGGGACAACAUCUCGAAAGGGAUGCCAAUACCGCAUACGCCCUACGGGAGAAAGCAGGGGAUCACUUGUGACCUUGCGCUAAUAGAUGAGCCUAAGUCGGAUUAGGUAGUUGGUGGGGUAAAGGCCUACCAAGGCGACGAUCUGUAGCGGGUCUGAGAGGAUGAUCCGCCACACUGGGACUGAGACACGGCCCAGACUCCUACGGGAGGCAGCAGUGGGGAAUAUUGGACAAUGGGGGGAACCCUGAUCCAGCCAUGCCGCGUGUGUGAAGAAGGCCUUAUGGUUGUAAAGCACUUUAAGCGAGGAGGAGGCUCUUUUGGUUAAUACCCAAGAUGAGUGGACGUUACUCGCAGAAUAAGCACCGGCUAACUCUGUGCCAGCAGCCGCCGUAA
rnacentral:rRNA from 1 species